rnacentral:rRNA from 1 species
GACGAACGCUGGCGGCGUGCCUGACACAUGCAAGUCGGACGGUUCUUGUACCUUCAAGCUUGCUUGUUGGUGCAAGGAUAGUGGCGGACGGGUGAGUAACGCGUGAACAUCUACCCAUUGGAGGGGGACAACCCGUCGAAAGGCGGGCUAAUACCGCGUAAGCCGCGAGGUGAGAGGCUGCCUAUUGGUGGCCGCCGAUGGAUGGGUUCGCGUCCUAUCAGCUGGUUGGUGGGGUAACGGCCUACCAAGGCGAAGACGGGUAGCCGGUCUGAGAGGAUGGCCGGCCGACACUGGAACUGAGACACGGUCCAGACUCCUACGGGAGGCAGCAGUGGGGAAUAUUGGGCAAUGGGCGAAAGCCUGACCCAGCAACGCCGCGUGAAGGAAGAAGGCUUUCGGGUUGUAAACUUCUUUUGGCAGGGACGAAGAAAGUGACGGUACCUGCAGAAUAAGCUCCGGCUAACUACGCG